UUUUUCAGUGGAGGGGGAGGGACCUCAACAUUGACAGACUAAUUGUUAUUGAUUUUUGUGUAUUUACAGAUACGUUAGAGAAAAUACACAUUACUUUUCUCAUCCAUUAUCACUGAAACAUCCUUAGAUAUGAAGACUCCUAAAAGUGCAAUAUCUGCUUAGAGAAACCUUCCAUGUGUUCAAUGUAGCUUACUCCAAAAGCAGUUCUCUCCACAGAUUUCUCUGCAUUGUCAAAGGGUGAAUACAAUAUCUGCUCCUAGUGAUCUAAGGUACCUGUAUUCGUUUUCUAUGUUCGAUUGC
rnacentral:lncRNA from 11 species